GCUGGGAUUCCUGGUGUGAGCCAUUGCACCCAUCCAGCAAACAGCAGAGCUUUAUGGAGUGGAAGACCCAGGAGUCUCAUUCUUCUGGCAUCCCUGAUGUCCUAUCAAGUGCUUAUUGGUGUAUUUGUCGUGUGUCAGCUUCCACCAGGAUGUCAGCAAAUUGAGGAAUCAAUGUCUGGUGCCCAUGAAGGAGAAGGAAAGAAGGGCAUCUCUCACCUGGAGAAGGAGUGAGUCUCCCAGAUGGCAGCAGGAGCCUGGCCCCCAUGGGAUGUGGCAGGCAGGAGGUCAUGGCUGGGCAAUGUCUUGGAGACCCUGCACUUGAUGGAUCAGCUGGCCCCACCCACAUCAAUAAACUGGCUCUUCUGCUCUUGGGCCCCCACCCAGGAACUGACAGCUUGCAUGAAGCCGGCUUUGACUCCCUACGAUUUCAUCCUUGACCAAUCAGCACUCCUGGCUCACUGGCUUUCCCCGACCCACCAAG